rnacentral:snRNA from 1 species
AUCACUUCUUGGCCUUUUGGCUAAGAUCAAGUGUAUUUUUAUUAUUUUUAAUUUAUUUUUUAAAUUUACAUCCAAG